GUGCCAGCAGCCGCGGUAAUACGUAGGUGGCAAGCGUUGUCCGGAAUUAUUGGGCGUAAAGCGCGCGCAGGCGGUUUCUUAAGUCUGAUGUGAAAGCCCACGGCUUAACCGUGGAAGGUCAUUGGAAACUGGGAGACUUGAGUGCAGAAGAGAAGAGCGGAAUUCCACGUGUAGCGGUGAAAUGCGUAGAGAUGUGGAGGAACACCAGUGGCGAAGGCGGCUCUUUGGUCUGUAACUGACGCUGAGGCGCGAAAGCGUGGGGAUCAAACAGGAUUAGAUACCCCUGUAGUCC
rnacentral:rRNA from 1 species